rnacentral:rRNA from 1 species
AGCGAACGCUGGCGGCAGGCCUAACACACGCAAGUCGAACGAACUCUUCGGAGUUAGUGGCGGACGGGUGAGUAACACGUGGGAACGUGCCUUUUGGUUCGGAAUAACUCAGGGAAACUUGUGCUAAUACCGAAUGUGCCCUUCGGGGGAAAGAUUUAUCGCCAUUAGAGCGGCCCGCGUCUGAUUAGCUAGUUGGUGAGGUAACGGCUCACCAAGGCGACGAUCAGUAGCUGGUCUGAGAGGAUGACCAGCCACACUGGGACUGAGACACGGCCCAGACUCCUACGGGAAGCAGCAGUGGGGAAUCUUGCGCAAUGGGCGAAAGCCUGACGCAGCCAUGACGCGUGAAUGAUGAAGGUCUUAGGAUUGUAAAAUUCUUUCACCGGGGACGAUAAUGACGGUACCCGGAGAAGAAGCCCCGGCUAACUUCGUG